rnacentral:rRNA from 1 species
GGAGUUUGGACCGUGUCUCAGUUCCAAUGUGGGGGACCUUCCUCUCAGAACCCCUACCGAUCGUCGGCCAGGUGGGCCGUUGCCCCGCCUGCUGCCUAAUCGGACGCAUCCCCAUCCGCAACCGGAUAAAACCUUUCGUCGGGGCCAGAUGCCCUCUCCCGACGGCAUGCGGCAUUAAUCCGCCUUUCGGCGGGCUAUUCCGCGGUUGCGGGCAGGUUGGAUACGCGUUACUCACCCGUGCGCCGGUCGCCACCAGCGGAUGCAAGCAUCCGCCGUGCUGCCCCUCGACUUGCAUGUGUUAAGCCUGUAGCUAGCGUUCAUC